rnacentral:rRNA from 1 species
UCAGUAACGGCGAGUGAAGCGGCAAAAGCUCAAAUUUGAAAUCCCCCCGGGGAGUUGUAAUUUGAAGAUUGCGUCUUGGAGGCGACCGUGUCUAUGUUCCUUGGAACAGGACGUCACAGAGGGUGAGAAUCCCGUGCGGCACGGCCCCCGGCUCCUUAUAAGGCGCUCUCGACGAGUCGAGUUGUUUGGGAAUGCAGCUCAAAGUGGGUGGUAAAUUCCAUCUAAAGCUAAAUACAGGCGAGAGACCGAUAGCGAACAAGUACAGUGAUGGAAAGAUGAAAAGCACUUUGAAAAGAGAGUGAAACAGCACGUGAAAUUGUUGAAAGGGAAGGGCAUGCCGUCAGAUUGUCAGUGUGGGUAAGAAGCGGGGUACAAAGACUGUGGAACGUGGCCCUCGGGUGUUAUAGCCGCAGUUCAUGCCCCGUCUCUUUCCGAGGC